UACGGAGGGGGCUAGCGUUGUUCGGAUUCAUUGGGCGUAAAGGGUGCGUAGGUGGCGCCGUAAGUCAGGUGUGAAAUUUCGGAGCUUAACUCCGAAACUGCAUUUGAUACUGCGGUGCUUGAGGACUGGAGAGGAGACUGGAAUUCACGGUGUAGCAGUGAAAUGCGUAGAUAUCGUGAGGAAGACCAGUGGCGAAGGCGGGUCUCUGGACAGUUCCUGACACUGAGGCACGAAGGCCAGGGGAGCAAACGGG
rnacentral:rRNA from 1 species